GACGAACCGUGCGAACGUUGUCCGGAAUCACUGGGCUUAAAGGGCGCGUAGGCGGGCUGCCGCGUCCGGGGUGAAAUCCCACGGCUCAACCGUGGAACGGCCUCGGAUACGGGCGGCCUCGAGGGGGGUAGGGGCAUCUGGAACUGUGAGUGGAGCGGUGAAAUGCGUUGAUAUUCACAGGAACUCCGGUGGCGAAGGCGAGGUGCUGGACCCCUUCUGACGCUGAGGCGCGAAAGCCAGGGGAGCGAACGGG
rnacentral:rRNA from 1 species